rnacentral:lncRNA from 1 species
UGCUUGUUGAGUUCUGUCUUAUAGAGCUUCAGUACUUGAGGAGAAGGGUGAAAGUCUGAAUAAAAUUCAUCAACUAGAACUGAAAGUCGGCAAAUCUCAUCAGUCAUGGCAGAGGAGACUUUAUUUUCUACUUCCUCAGUAACACGUUUGAUUUUUUCCUUAGUAUCUUCUGUCAAAAUGUUCAGCUGAUUUCGCACGAAGUCCAACCUAUCCUUCUGGUCUUCUCGCUCUUCCAUUGAGAGCACUCUUUUCUCUGCUGCAGCUACGUUUAUGGCGUCCAUAAUGUUUUUCACAGUAUCUAUUAUCUGUUUAGCUCUGAUAGUGUGCUGUUCAAACUUGGUUUUCACGGCUGACUGCGAGAUACACUCCUCAAAUAUCUGCUCAAAAUUUUGGAAUUCUUGGAAUCUUGUUUGAAACCCUUCAGCAAGUGCUCCUCCACUCUCUGGCAUCCCUUGGGCCUUCUGUCUCCU